UUUCUCAGACAAACUAGGUCAACGCACAAAGACUGAAGCAUAUUUUGAAUUAGAUGAUAACAUUACACUUGUGUUGAAGCCUAAUAGUAAAGUGCCUUUUGUGACAAUACAGCAAGUGGACGAUGAAUUGGAUAGAUUGGCAAAAAACAGAAUCAUUGAAAAUGUGGAUUACGCGAAAUGGGAAGCUCUGAUUAUGUAUCAAACAGAAAA